UACGUAGGCAGCGAGCGUUGUUCGGAAUUACUGGGCGUAAAGCGUGCGCAGGCGGUUCUGAAAGUCAGCUGUGAAAGCCCCGGGCUUAACCUGGGAAUGGCGGUUGAAACUACAGGACUAGAAUCUGGCAGAGGGGGGUGGAAUUCCACGUGUAGCAGUGAAAUGCGUAGAGAUGUGGAGGAACACCGAUGGCGAAGGCAGCCCCCUGGGCUGAGAUUGACGCUCAGGCACGAAAGCGUGGGGAGCAAACAGG
rnacentral:rRNA from 1 species